AGAGUUUGAUCCUGGCUCAGAAUGAACGUUGGCGGCGUGGAUUAGGCAUGCAAGUCGUGCGAGAAACUUUUUUUGCUUGCAUUAAAAGUGGACAGCGGCGAAAGGGAGAGUAACGCGUGGACAUCUGCCCCUAGACCCGGGAUAGCUGCGGGAAACUGCAGGUAAUACCGGAUAAUGUCUCCGGACCAAAGGUGUGAUUCCGUCUAGGGAUGAGUCCGCGUCCUACUAGCUUGUUGGUGGGGUAAUGGCCUACCAAGGCAAUGAUGGGUAGCGGGUGUGAGAGCAUGUCCCGUCUCACUGGGACUGAGACACUGCCCAGACACCUACGGGUGGCUGCAGUCGAGAAUCUUCCGCAAUGGACGAAAGUCUGACGGAGCGACGCCGCGUGCGGGAUGAAGGCCCUCGGGUUGUAAACCGCUGUCAGUUGGGAGGAAAUGCAUAAGGGUACUCUCUUAUGUUUGACCGAUCUUCAGAGGAAGUCCGGGCUAAGUUCGUGCCAGCAGCCGCGGUAAGACGAACCGGACGAACGUUAUUCGGAAUCACUGGGCUUAAAGAGUGCGUAGGCGGCUUGGUAGGUUGGGUGUGAAAUCCCACAGCUCAACUGUGGAACUGCGCUCAAAACCCCCAAGCUUGAGGAAGGUAGAGGUGAGCGGAACUGAUGGUGGAGCGGUGAAAUGCGUUGAUAUCAUCAGGAACACCGGUGGCGAAGGCGGCUCACUGGGCCUUUUCUGACGCUGAGGCACGAAAGCUAGGGUAGCGAACAGGAUUAGAUACCCUGGUAGUCCUAGCUGUAAACGAUGAGCACUUGAUCGAGGGGACCUCCACAUCCUCUCGGUCGUAGCGAAAGUGUUAAGUGCUCCGCC
rnacentral:rRNA from 1 species